CUGUUGCUGUACCAUUCUUCGAAGAGAGCUAUGGUUUUGUUGUUUGAUGCUACAAAGUAGAAUCCAGUGUUGAGGGGGUUGGAUUCAUCGAAGGGGUUUUCGUUGUAAUGGUCGCAACUUAUUUGCAUGUCUUCGCCAUUGUGGCUUAGCUUUGGGAAUGGGUUUCUUAGCCACAGAACAUCCAUAUCCUGAUUGAAGAAAAAGAGAGGAGUUUAAGUGGAUCGUGAACUGAGGGAUAUUCUAGUUAUUGAGGAACCAAAUAGCAAGACACCCUGGGAUCUGAGGGAUUUAUGACUGAUACCAAAGAUUGGCAUUGGCCUACACCAGAGUAUCUGUAAAUCCAUGUUUACUCAACUUACCGUGAAGAUGAAGCUAUAUCCACGCCUAAGAACUUCUCCGAGAAGUCUCGAGAUAGUAACAAUGGAGACCUAGGAACCUGCACCUUCGUAAAGCCAUCUUAUCUACGGCCACGAGGAGAAGGUGUUUGAUCAAGAACUCGG